CCUACGGGAGGCAGCAGUGAGGAAUAUUGGUCAAUGGGCGCGAGCCUGAACCAGCAAAGUAGCGUGAAGGAUGACUGCCCUACGGGUUGUAAACUUCUUUUAUAAAGGAAUAAAGUGAGGCACGUGUGCCUUUUUGUAUGUACUUUAUGAAUAAGGAUCGGCUAACUCCGUGCCAGCAGCCGCGGUAAUACGGAGGAUCCGAGGGUUGUCCGGAUUUAUUGGGUUUAAAGGGAGCGUAGGUGGGUUGUUAAGUAAGUUGUGAAACUAUGCGGCUCAACCGUAAAAUUGCAAUUGAUACUGGCAGACUUGAGUACAGGUGAGGUAGGCGGAAUUCGUGGUGUAGCGGUGAAAUGCUUAGAUAUUACGAAGAACUCCGAUUGCGAAGGCAGCUUACUAAACUGCAACUGACAUUGAUGCUCGAAAGUGUGGGUAUCAAACAGGAUUAGAUACCCUAGUAGUC
rnacentral:rRNA from 1 species